rnacentral:rRNA from 1 species
GUCUUUUUGAAAAUAAUAUAAAGUCUAACCUGCCCACUGAAAAUUUAAAUGGCUGCGGUAUUUUGACCGUACAAAGGUAGCAUAAUCAAUAGUUUCCUAAUUAGAAGCUUGUAUGAAUGGUUGGAUAAGAAAAUUACUGUCUCAAGUUAAAUUAUAGAAUUUUAUUUUUAAGUUAAAAAGCUUAAAUUUUAUUAAAAGACGAGAAGACCCUAUAGAGUUUAAUAAUUUUUUAAAAUUAAGAUUUUUAGUUUUUAAUAUUUUUAUUUUAAUUAAUUAUUUGAUUGGGGUGAUUAAAAAAUUUAAUAAACUUUUUUUUAUUUUUUACAUUAAUUUAUGUAUUAUUGAUCCAUUGAAAUGAUUAAAAGAAAAAAUUACCUUAGGGAUAACAGCGUAAUUUUUUCUAAGAGUUCUUAUUGAAGAAAAAGAUUGCGACCUCGAUGUUGGAUUAAAGGAAAUUUAUGGUGAAGAAGCUAUAAAAUUAAGUCUGUUCGACUUUUAAAACUUUACAU